UCCCUGGUGGCUCAGUGGGUAAAGCGUCUGCCUGCAAUGCGGGAGACCCAGGUUCGAUCUCUGGGUCAGGAAG
rfam:Ovis aries breed Texel chromosome 6, whole genome shotgun sequence.